UACGGGGGGGGCAAGCGUUGUUCGGAAUUACUGGGCGUAAAGGGCGCGUAGGCGGCCCUCUAAGUCGAACGUGAAAUCCCCGGGCUCAACCCGGGAACUGCGUCCGAUACUGGAGGGCUCGAGUGUGGGAGAGGGAUGCGGAAUUCCAGGUGUAGCGGUGAAAUGCGUAGAUAUCUGGAGGAACACCGGUGGCGAAGGCGGCAUCCUGGACCACGACUGACACUGAAAAGCGAAAGCCAGGGGAGCAAACGGG
rnacentral:rRNA from 1 species